CCCUUAGAUGUUCUGGGCCGCACGCGCGCUACACUGACAGAGCCAGCGAGUUAUUUCACCUUGGCCGGAAGGCUCCGGGUAAUCUUGUGAAACUCUGAUCGUGCUUUGGGGUCGAGCAUUGCAAUUAUUGCUCGUGAACGAGGAAUACCUAGUAAGCGCAAGUCAUCAGACUGCAUCGAUUACGUCCCUGCCCUUUGUACACACCGCCCGUCGCUCCUACCGAUUGAAUGCUCAGGUGAGCCAUUCGGACUUUCAUCAUGCUGGUUUCCAGUUUUGAUGAAGGAAAGUCUUGCGAACCUUAUCAUUUAGAGGAAGGAGAAGUCGUAACA
rnacentral:rRNA from 1 species